UUUACUCUUAGUAUAAGUAAUGUUUCUGUGUGUUAAAUAACUUUGAUUCCUUCCUGUGACUUCCUUGAGAAAGAGAGCAGUGAAGCCUGGGAGAUAGCGGAGACAACUCUUCUAGCAGAGUUUAUUGCCCAGCAAUAAAUUCUGCUCUCUUGUGUUAUAUACAACGUGUCCUACUCGACGCCGUGUCUGGUACUCGACUGGAGCAAGAAGGAUCUAGAGUUGUAGAUAACAUGUGUUUAGUUAGUGAUUGUCAUUUAGCACUGCAACUAAAAUGCUUUGACCCCACCCCCUAGAGUUGCAGUGCUCUCUGUGAUAGGGACUCUGAAAGCAAUAAAAUAGAGGAGCAGGCAUAUGUGUUUUCAGAGCGGUAGGAGAUUUGUAACUGAAAGCACAUCUCUGUCCGUUCUCCUCGCGAGAAACAAAGAA